rnacentral:sRNA from 1 species
AAUGGCUUCAUCAGAUAGUCGAUGUGGAUUUGUCCGUUCCCAUAUGAUUCGUUCCCUUGAAGCAAUAUUAAUCGUGUUGCUCUCGUUCUCUAAAUUGCUCUCUAAUCAUCAAAGUAAUCAUACGGUUAAUUCUAGUAUGAUACCGAUUAGUGAGCAUAACUUGAGCAGCUACAUAAUCUUCUCUUACGAGGGUUUUGUUUUGUCUUAAUUCUUGUUUUGUUG